ensembl:lincRNA uncharacterized LOC102019560
GCGGGGGGAGGGGGUGAGAAUCGCCACCUCCGGCCUUGGCUUUCCCGCUCUUCCGAGCGCUCCCAUUUCUCACUUUCCCCAAAUCCGCAUUUUCCUUGGCACAGCUCUCCCGAGCACGAAGGAGAGAGAGGGAGGUGCCCGGGGGCAGCGAGAAUGACGUGCGCUGGUGCAGAGGGGGUGGGGGCUGCGGGCCGGGCUCCGUGCACGGGCUCCUAAUCCUCUUGUUUCGGAACCGUCAGCAGAUGUGGCUCCUCUCAGCCGAAUAAUCCGUUAAAGGAAUAAUAAUUUUUUUAAAAAAAGGAGAUCGACCUCACUCAACGAGGACUAGGAUCGAGAUCGGGGCUUGUAGAUUCACCGCCUUUGGUGGGGCUGGCUGAGAUGCUACGAACGGCAAACAGUCUCUUAAAAAGGAGGAAAAAAGAUGAAGACCUUGGGUGGACGCCGGAACAAAGCACCACGAGCUCUCGGGCGAGAAGGAACGCACUGGAGCGAUAGCUCCGGACGCGGACACGAGCGAUCUCCGUUGCCCAGCUACACCGGCCGUGCGCGCGGACCUCUCAGGCGAGAGGACUGUAUCGGCGAGGAGGCCGAUUCCCCAGAUCCGGUCCCCGGACCCAGGCAGCUCGCCCCUGCGGCGCGCCCGGCCGGGCUGCGCCUGGACUCAGCGAUCCAGGGAAAGGCCUGGAUGCGGGAGAACAAAGAGCCUUUGGAAGACAUCGCCGUUAUCUCAUUGUCUGCGCGGUUGGGGGAGCUGCGGGACCCCAGCCACAGCGACCUAAAACUGCUGACUCCAGAGGACACCCCAAAUUCAAAGAGUGUGCUCAGAGGAUAUUGGUCCACAUUGGGAAGACAGAAACUUGGAAAAGCAUUUGGAAGGGCUCAGCCUCCUCACCCAGGCCCUGGAUCCAAGAUCCUGAUGUAGGAGAUGAUGCAACUGGGUACGGGCGCCUCAAAAAGAAAGUGCUCUCUUGCCUGUCUUUUUCUGUGCGCCCUGGUGCACGGAAGGAAGCAGGCACUUCUCAUGGCUGGUGCUCUGGAAGCUGGAAAAUAAAAGUAGAAAUCACAGCGACAGCAGAAGAUCCUCCUUUGUCUGCCUGCCCCCCUCCCCCAUUUGGAAGUAAGGCUUUCUGUGCCAUCGGGCACCCUCGUCUGCCUCCCGAGCGGCCCUGUGGCUAACAACUGCGGUGUCCGCCUCACAACCGGAUGAGGAGGAGAGAAAAUGUCAGAGCAGCUGGCUUCGCUCCCCUUCCUCCCCGGGCCACCUGGAGGCUUACCCACCAGCCUGGGAAUCCUGUGGUCAGAUUUGUGGUAGGGGGAAGUGGGCGGUGAGUGUUGUGGGGGGGUGUCUGGGACAUUGUUAAGAAGGUGUCUUACACAUAAGGCUCAAUGAAUGCCACCCAAAUUGGACGUAAUUAAAUUAGCAGCAGCUGUCCUGCUUUUCCUGCAGAAAAGCUACAAUUAUGUAUGAAGCCUCUUGGGCAAAGGCUAGAUAAGAGUGCCCCUCAAGCCAGCAAGAAGCUGAAAAAUGUUCCUAGUCCCUCUCCCCGUCUCAGCCCCUGCUGAACUCGCCCAGAUAUGUAGAGUUUUAUUUUCAAACCGUUCCCACGUGGUAAAGAGACUGCAAGCUGUGCUGCUUCCAGGUGGAAUUUCCAAAGGGAUAAACUCGGCUCUAGAAUCCUUCUGCUUCCCUGUAGAGAGCAAAGUCCCUUCUCAAAUCUUGCUCAUCACCAUCCCUGAUUCACACCUCACGCAAGGCUUUCCCUCCUGGGGUGUGCGCUCCACGAUAAAUGUUAUCAAUAAUGAGCGUCCGCCUCCUUGUACUCACCCCUUGAAAAAGUCUGUGCUGUCAGUAUUCUCUAAGAGGUGUCAGGACAAAGGAAGACUGAGGCUCCUUUAUUUCCAACGAGGGUGUGAACUGCCAGAAGUUACUUUCCCAGAGAUAUUUGUUGUUAUUGUUUAUUAUUUUACAGUUUAGAAGAGGCACUUAUUCACGGUGCAAUUUAAGGGCAGAGAGAGCACCGUCAACUGCUCAUUGUGGCCCCUUCAUUCCGGAUGCCCCCCCAUACUCAGCCCUGCAAAUGCCUCCCUCAGGUGGAACUGAUAAGAAAAUACACUGGAAGAACUCGAAACGGAUCCUGGU